GAUUCAGUUGGGAACCAACUAAAUAUCCCACAUCAGCUAGAGAAGAUUAGCAUGGCCACUGGGCAAGGAUGACACGCACAAAUCGAGAAAUGGUCCAAAUUUUU